rnacentral:rRNA from 1 species
GUGGGGAAUAUUGGUCAAUGGUCGGAAGACUGAACCAGCCAAGUAGCGUGCAGGAUGACGGCCCUAUGGGUUGUAAACUGCUUUUGUGCGGGAAUAACGUUGCGUUCGUGAACGCAAGUGCAUGUACCGUACGAAUAAGGAUCGGCUAACUCCGUGCCAGCAGCCGCGGUAAUACGGAGGAUCCGAGCGUUAUCCGGAUUUAUUGGGUUUAAAGGGAGCGUAGGCGGGAAGUCAAGUCAGCUGUGAAAUGUAGGCGCUCAACGCCUGCACUGCAGUUGAAACUGGUUUUCUUGAGUGCGUAAGAGGCAGGCGGAAUUCGUCGUGUAGCGGUGAAAUGCUUAGAUAUGACGAAGAACUCCGAUUGCGAAGGCAGCUUGCUGGUCCGCCACUGACGCUGAAGCUCGAAGGUGCGGGUAUCGAACAGG